rnacentral:rRNA from 1 species
GCCGCGUGAGCGAAGAAGGCCUUCGGGUCGUAAAGCUAUGUCCAGGGGGAAGAACAAAUGACGGUACCCCUGUACGAGCCCCGGCUAACUACGUGCCAGCAGCCGCGGUAACACGUAGGGGGCAAGCGUUGUCCGGAAUCACUGGGCGUAAAGCGCGCGUAGGCGGCCUCAUAAGUCAGUGGUGAAAACCGGCGGCUCAACCGCAGGCUUGCCUCUGAAACUGUGAGGCUUGAGGACAGGAGAGGAGAGUGGAAUUCCCAGUGUAGCGGUGAAAUGCGUAGAUAUUGGGAGGAACACCAGUGGCGAAGGCGACUCUCUGGCCUG